UACAGAGGUCUCAAGCGUUGUUCGGAUUCAUUGGGCGUAAAGGGUGCGUAGGCGGCGCGGUAAGUCGGGUGUGAAAUCUUGGAGCUUAACUCCGAAACUGCAUUCGAUACUGCCGUGCUUGAGGACUGGAGAGGAGACUGGAAUUUACGGUGUAGCGGUGAAAUGCGUAGAUAUCGUAAGGAAGACCAGUGGCGAAGGCGGGUCUCUGGACAGUUCCUGACGCUGAAGCACGAAGGCCAGGGGAGCAAACGGG
rnacentral:rRNA from 1 species